rnacentral:rRNA from 1 species
GUCUACGCUGUCAAAGAUGAAUGCUAAUAUUAGGUUGUUGGUAUCUAGUAUAAAGUUAACACGUUAAGCAUUCCACCUGGGAAGUACGAUCGCAAGAUUGGAACUCAAAGGAAUUGGCGGGAGUCUACACAAGUGGUGGAGCAUGUUGUUUAAUGCGAUAAUACGCGCAAAAUCUUACCAGUUUUUGAAUAUUCUAAGAAAGUAUGUUAUAUUACUUUAUAUUAUAAAUAGUUUUUAAUUAUUAAUGAUGCUAGAAUA